GGUCCUAGUGGCGAACGGGUGAGUAACACGUGAGGAACCUGCCCCGGAGUCCGGAAUAGCCCAGGGAAACCUGGAUUAAUGCCGGAUACCCUUCACCGGUCGCAUGUCUGGUGAAGGAAAGGUCCGCCGCUCCGGGAUGGCCUCGCGGCCUAUCAGCUUGUUGGUGAGGUAACGGCUCACCAAGGCUACGACGGGUAGCUGGUCUGAGAGGACGAUCAGCCACACUGGGACUGAGACACGGCCCAGACUCCUACGGGAGGCAGCAGCAGGGAAUAUUGCACAAUGGGCGAAAGCCUGAUGCAGCGACGCCGCGUGAGGGAUGAAGGCCUCCGGGUCGUAAACCUCUUUCAGGAGGGACGAAGCGAAAGUGACGGUACCUCCAGAAGAAGCCCCGGCCAACUACGUGCCAGCAGCCGCGGUAAUACGUAGGGGGCAAGCGUUGUCCGGAUUCAUUGGGCGUAAAGAGCUCGUAGGCGGCUCGGUAAGUCGGCCGUGAAAUCCCGGAGCUCAACUCCGGGAGGCCGGUCGAUACUGCCGUGGCUAGGGACCGGUAGAGGAGAGUGGAAUUCCCGGUGUAGCGGUGAAAUGCGCAGAUAUCGGGAGGAACACCAGUAGCGAAGGCGGCUCUCUGGGCCGGCACCGACGCUGAGGAGCGAAAGCUAGGGGAGCAAACAGGAUUAGAUACCCUGGUAGUCCUAGCCGUAAACGUUGGGCACUAGGUGUGGCGGAUUGAUUGAUGUCUGCUGUGCCGUAGCAAACGCAUUAAGUGCCCCGCCUGGGGAGUACGGUCGCAAGGCUAG
rnacentral:rRNA from 1 species